GCCGGGGCCGGGGCGUAGGGGCCGUUGCCCGCGAUGGACCGCACCAGAGACGCUCCGGACUCGUCGCCGCAGGAUGGGAUUAUUCCUGACUGAGUGCUCACUGAAGCCCAGAGAGCUAGAAUGAGAUGAGGAAAGCAACCUCGCUUUGUGCAGACGCAGCCAGAUAGAGGGGCUGAUGCUUUUUGGAGGUGUCCACCCCCCAGGGUUCCUGACCCUUGCCCCUGGACAGCGACCCCUUCUCAGACUCCAGUUGGGCCGGACUCUCCAAACCUGCUUCCGCAAUGGGUGGGUUGUGAGUGCUGGUAAUGAGGAGCCGUGGGUGCAGCCAGCCUUGGAGAUGCCGAAGAGACGGGACAUCCUAGCAAUCGUCCUCAUCGUGCUGCCCUGGACUCUGCUCAUCACCGUCUGGCACCAGAGCACCCUCGCACCCCUGCUCGCGGUACAUAAGGAUGAGGGCAGUGACCCCCGACGCGAAACGCCGCCCGGCGCCGACCCCAGGGAGUACUGCAUGUCUGACCGCGACAUCGUGGAGGUGGUGCGCACCGAGUACGUGUACACGCGGCCCCCGCCAUGGUCCGACACGCUGCCCACCAUCCACGUGGUGACGCCCACCUACAGCCGCCCGGUGCAGAAGGCCGAGCUGACGCGCAUGGCCAACACGCUGCUGCACGUGCCCAACCUCCACUGGCUGGUGGUGGAGGAUGCGCCGCGCCGGACGCCGCUGACCGCGCGCCUGCUGCGCGACACCGGCCUCAACUACACGCACCUGCACGUGGAGACGCCCCGCAACUACAAGCUGCGCGGAGACGCCCGCGACCCACGCAUCCCGCGGGGCACCAUGCAGCGCAACCUGGCCCUGCGCUGGCUGCGCGAGACCUUCCCGCGCAACUCCAGCCAGCCUGGCGUGGUCUACUUCGCCGACGACGACAACACCUACAGCCUGGAGCUCUUCGAAGAGAUGCGCAGCACCAGGAGGGUGUCCGUGUGGCCCGUCGCCUUCGUGGGUGGCCUGCGGUACGAGGCCCCACGGGUGAACGGGGCAGGGAAGGUGGUCGGCUGGAAGACGGUGUUUGACCCCCACCGGCCAUUUGCAAUAGACAUGGCUGGAUUUGCUGUCAACCUGCGGCUCAUUCUGCAGCGAAGCCAGGCCUACUUCAAGCUGCGAGGUGUGAAGGGAGGCUACCAGGAAAGCAGCCUCCUUCGAGAACUUGUCACCCUCAACGACCUGGAGCCCAAGGCAGCCAACUGCACCAAGAUCCUGGUGUGGCAUACACGGACAGAGAAGCCAGUGCUGGUGAAUGAGGGCAAGAAGGGCUUCACUGACCCCUCGGUGGAGAUCUGAGCCUCAGGAUGCAGGUGCACGGGUGAGACCCUAUGCAGUGAGUGUGGACAGAGGAAAGAAACAGCCCAAGGAGUGGGCCAGAGACCCCCAGCAUUCAGAGGCUGGAUAUGAAGAGGGAUCCUCCAAAGAGACCUAGAUGAGGCCAUACCGUGUGGAAGAUAAUGGAAACAUCUUCAGUCAACGCUGGAGAAUAAGCUCUGCCAAGAGGUACUUUGAUAGAGAAGCUGAGCAAUUAACUGGCAGAAAAGAAGGGCGAGAAUAAGAAGCUGGUGUAGGAAGACCUCACCUGAGGAAACGAGUGUGUCCUGCUCAGGUCUGCAUGGAAGUGUGAUCCAAGGGGCUUCUCCACCUUACAGGAGGAUUUGCAGGAAGGCUCCCUUCCAUUCCAUCACUUUCUGACAGAACCAGCUCAUACACAGCUCUGCAGAAGCACACACUCAGGUAAAGCGGGGCAGAAGACCCUGCAGGUGGCUUAGGCCACACCCAAGUAGCCCGAGUCUCAUCCACAUCUUAGCCCCAUGCUUGUCGUUCCAAGGCAGUUCCAGAAGAACUGGUGAGUUUGGGCAAAACCAGGGACUCUGCCCCAUGUUGUUCCCAAGCCACUGUCGACAAGCUUCCCUUUAAUAAGCUCCAUUUAAUAAGCCCUUGACCCGGCUCAGCUGCUGGGCUGCACACCACGAAUGUCCCCUGCACUCCCCCUGGGCAGCCACACACGGGCAGCAAGCCUGCUGGCCUCAGUGAGCUCCACGGCUCACCAUCCCCCAGCCCACCUUCACGGGGCUCCCAGAGCUCUCGCUGUGCCGGGGAUGUGUGUGCUACUUGACUUUCUGACUCUUACUGGAGAUAAUUUGGUUUUGGCAGUAGAUGCCAGAUGUAGUUUGUGAAGCAAAACUCAACCCCGCAGUUAACUCAUAUGGAGCGCCCUUGACUGCCUGGCAGAUUCUUACCCCCGCCCACCAGCAUGAGAAUGAAUUUGCAUUUGAACUGUCCUCUCCAGGGCACUUCCAAUCCAGAGACAUUUGAAGGGAAGUCGGGGUCAGGAGGGGAAGAUGAGGCCAGGAUCAUGGCCCACCCACCCCCGGGACGGUCCCCAUCUGGACCCCCAGGCGGCAAGUGGGGCCCAAUGGGAACCUGACCGAGAAAACCAAGCUCUCAGACAGCCUUCCCUUCUGGCAAGAGUGGCACACAUGACCAGAGACUAUCACCAGAGGGGGUGUGAUUCAAGGCUAUAGCUUUACUGCAACUCAGGACAGUGAGCCCAAGCCAGGUGUUGGGUUGGGCCCCAGAACAAGGCUUAAAUGCGGACGUGGACACACCUCGAAGGAGGGCUGCUCCGCCCCUGCUGCUCGGGCGUUGGGGGUGGGGGGCGGGGGCCACUGAGCUGGGCCUUCUGUCCUCCUCCCUGGAUGUGCAGACAUGGGCCAUGGCUUCUGCCAGGACUCACAUGUGAGCUGGGCCUUCUGUCCUCCUCCCUGGAUGUGCAGACAUGGGCCAUGGCUUCUGCCAGGACUCACAUGUGAGCUGGGCCUUCUGUCCUCCUCCCUGGAUGUGCAGACAUGGGCCAUGGCUUCUGCCAGGACUCACAUGUGAGCUGGGCCUUCUGUCCUCCUCCCUGGAUGUGCAGACACGGGCCAUGGCUUCUGCCAGGACUCACAUGUCCUCCUCACUGAACACCAGAGACACUUGCUAACUCGGGAAGACGCAGGGUGAGGAUUUCUGUUUCUCCAGCCCAGCCUGUCACCCUGUGGGAAGCAGCGAGUGGGAAGGGAAAGGGGAAGUCACAUGUUUCUCACGCCGAGUUCCUUCCAGAAUCCCAAAGAAGGCUCAGAAGGUUGUGAAGGAAGAACAAAGUCAGCUCAGAUGCGUUGGUGACCCGCUGCACGUCUGCAAGUGCCUCUGAGCCUGCUCCCAGGACGGCCAUCCUGCUGCCCACCCGACUCCUACAACCUGCUGAUCCCCAGCUUCCCGGCAAGAUCUAGGCUAAUGACUUCCCAGUUCCUUGCUUCUGUCAUGGUUAAGGCUGCCGGAUUUAGUAAACAAAAAUACCGGACAUAAAGUUAAAUUUCAAUUCACAACAAAUAAUUUUUUAGUUAACGCACCCAAGUGAGACAACACUGAAAUGCACAGAUCUUUCAAAAGACAACUCUUGCAAGCCCCUCAGUUAUGAGUCUCCGGCGGUGAGGAAGAGCCUGCUCGUGUGUUCAAAACACUGGAGGACCCUUGGUCUGAGAACUAACCAAGGAUGAUCCACGACCUAGAGGAAGACAGACCAAGAUCAAAGAAGACCCCAUUUGCUUGUACCUGGAGUGGCACCACCCUGGACAUCAGGUGGUCAAAAUAAAGGUCCACUGCUUCGGUGAAGCCCUUGACUGGAACCAAGAACUAAGUGAACUGAUCUAGGGACCAGAAUCGAGGGCAAGCCCUCUUCCCUCUGCAUCAACAAGAUUUGGAUGAAGCAUAAGACCGGCUGAGUAAAAGGUCAGGCGCUCUGACCCCAGUUAGCUUACCGUGCCCACGCCCCAUUGGAGAAGAAAAUGUAACUUUAUCAAAAAAACAGCUACAAGGAGUAAGGGGAAAGCUCGGUGAUCAUCCUAUAUUUACUGAAGCCCCGGAAUUCCAAAACGGGCAACAGAAUGAAGCUUCCAACUCGAAAGACAGGACAAGGGAUGGAGCAGGCUCAUGGACAGGCUCAACUCGAGAGGCGGAAGGGACGACUCAUGGAUGACACAGUGAUGGCAGCUGCUCUUCUCCCGGCCCCACCCCAUCGCUGGCUUUCGCAGAGCCUCUGCCCACUACAAAGAAUAUUCUCAGGUGAAGGAGGAGAGCCUGCCUGGCUUCCAACCCAGACACACGAGCUCUGCCUUUCAGCAAGUGUCGUCGGUGCUGCUUCUGCGGGUCAGAGUGCUGAGCCUGCAGCGCUCCCACAACCUUCAGGAGUCCUUUCGGGGACGUUGUCAAGGCUCGGCACGUUUCUGUAACUCUUUAAGGAACUGUCUUCAAAAUCAGUUCAUAAACCACCCAUGAAAAGCCAUCUCCUUGAUUUGUAAUCACAUAUUUUUGCCUAAACAUGGAAUAAUCCAGCCUGAUCACCCCCUUUAUUUCAUAGACUUAGAGUCAAGUAUCAGUUGGCAAUCUGGGGGGAAACCCAUGAAAAGAUCCAGGUUAUUCACAACUGAGCACACUUUAUAAAUGAUUUGCAAAUUCGACAGUUUACUGCGUGCCUACCAUGUGCCAAUCAUCACAGCAGAGGCUGGGAUGGCACCCACAGCAUUCUAGGACCGCUGCUCAAGAGCAGUGCUGAAAACUGGGGCCAGAGAGCCUCUCAGGCAGCUCUCCUGAAGAAGUCUCCGUUCACUGGCUGUAUAAACUGCAAGUGGGAAGACUGCUUGUAACACAAAAAGAUUCGCUAGCACUGAAUCACCUCCUCAAUCUGCACUCACCGCCUUCCCUAUACUCUUUUGUGCGACAUUGCUACUUCGGUUCCUCUAGACCUCACAUCCAUUUCAUGUCCCUUCGCACCCAUGAGUCAGGAGCUCUGUGGUGGGGAGGAGGAGGGAGACCCUGGCUCUCGCCCUGGGCAGAGGACCUGGGCCGGUUCCUCGUAUAUUUUUUCGCAUGCAGACACCAGGCGCCCUGCUUAGGAACCAGGCUCCGGGGGCACAGGGGCAGCACCUACGUGGUGAGGGUGUUCAAGCCACAGGCCUUCAUCUUCAGCAGGCGGUCCCUCCAGUACUCCCUGGGCACACGGAAAUAGUGGAUGGAGCCCCCGAAGAUCCAGAAGGUGGAACCCUCCAGCACGAAGUUCCAGCCCUUGGCCUGCAGCCCCAGCUGUCGAUGGCGGAGCCGCAGAGGGACCAGGGUGCUCCAGUCCAGCCUGGAAAGACAAAGACAUUCUGGAGCCUGGAGGCUCCGGGCCGCAGGGGCCAGGGUGCAGAGAGAUGAGCUUCCUCGCCCCUUCGCAGGUCCUCGGCAUUUCUCUCUCGAGAGGGCCUGCGUCCCGGUGGCUGGGAAAUCUCCCCCCUCCGCCUCAGCCCAACCUGGGAAGGGGUCUUUCUUCAGCACGGGGCCCCGCGGCAGGGGAAGGGCAAGCCGCGGCUGCAGCCAGCAGCAAGACAAGCACAGCACGCGGCAUGAAGGCCGGCGGGCUGAAAGGAGAGACGGCAGCCGUCACGCCACGGGAGAGGCUGCUGCUGGGGCCGGGCCGGGGCGGGCGCUGCACGGGCUUCACCAUGGCCACCUCCGCGGCCACGCGGCUACACGCGACAGCGGCAGCGACUUCACACGGUACCUCCGAGCCCCGGCACGGUCGCAGCCGCCCGACUGGAGGAGCAGAGACCUGGAAAGAGGGUCCGCGUUAGCGGCGUCCACCCAUCCACCCGAUUCCAGGUCUUCAUUAUUUUCUGAAGAUCGCGCACCCCCCAAGAGGCGACCCAGCUAGAGCAGAGUCCCCCACGGGAAGGCCGUGGAAGGCUUCGGUCCGCGAGAAAGCUCCUCUCGGCAUCCCUCGGGGUCGGCCCCAGGGAGCCCCUCAGCCGGGUCCCAGUGACUCGGUGCUGCCGGGUGGGUCUCCUUCCCACCCUGUCUCCCGAAAGCCGUGCGAGAAGCUGGGGAGACCCACAUUUCAAGUCAGGAAGGUCAGGAAAGCUGGAGGCAUGAAACAAGGGCGUGGCUGAGUCUGGGGCAGGGGCCGGUGCUGGGUGGCUGAGUCUGGGGCAGGGGCCGGUGCUGGGUGGCUGAGUCUGGGGCAGGGGCCGGUGCUGGGUGGCUGAGUCUGGGGCAGGGGCCGGUGCUGGGUGGCUGAGUCUGGGGCAGGGGCCGGUGCUGGGUGGCUGAGUCUGGGGCAGGGGCCGGUGCUGGGUGGCUGAGUCUGGGGCAGGGGCCGGUGCUGGGUGGCUGAGUCUGGGGCAGGGGCCGGUGCUGGGUGGCUGAGUCUGGGGCAGGGGCCGGUGCUGGGUGGCUGAGUCUGGGGCAGGGGCCGGUGCUGGGUGGCUGAGUCUGGGGCAGGGGCCGGUGUGGGCUGUACCUUCGUCCCCACCGGCGCUCGCUCCUGCCCUGACACUAGCAGGCGGUGGCCAGCCGGGCCCCACUGCACAAGACGCCCCUCAGCUGAGUGUCACAGAGGGACGGAGCAAGCGAGAGGGCCCAGAUGGCCAGAGACGGGGAGGGGGCAGGGUGCCCACAGGACAGAAGACAGCUCGGACAUCGCCAGCCUCUUGGGAAUUUUGUCUGGGGCCACUCUCAGGCAAAGAAAUUUGCUUUUUUACCUACUCCUACCUACUUCUCACAGCCCCAGGGCCUUAGAACUCACACCGAAGCUCCAGGACUACGGUUCUGCUGUGUUACAGAUGAAAGGGUCAUCUCAUCUUGGGCAACCUGGGAAUCUGUUCACCACAUUUUUCUUUCUCUAAAGAGAAAACUUCCAUGUUCUAGUAAAUGGCUUGCAAAUGACAUUUUAGGACACAGUUCUUCCAAAGGACUGUAUGAGAGAGUGACAGCAAAAACGCUAGCCGGAAUAGGAAGAUCCGGAUGUGAAUCCUGGCCCCCAGCUUGGUAGAACUGUCGCCUUGGGUUAGUGACACCAGUUCUGUGGGCAGGAGCUUCUUCCUCUAUAAAACGGGGCUAAUGCCUGUCCCAACUGCUCAGAAAGGCUGCUGUGAGGGUCCCGGAGAAACGCAACACUCUCUGCUGUGAGUCGAAGGGUCUUAUCUCUAUCUGAAAUCAAUUUAUUGUAGCAUGUGUUUGCGUAUUAGAGAGCUAUGGGAACCUAUUCACCACACUUUUUUCUCCAAAGAGAAAGCUUUAGAGAGAAUAGCCACGAGUGGGUUUUAUGUCCCUAAUGUGGAAUAAUCCCAACUUCUCCAUUCUCCCCAUGGUGGUAGAUAGCUUAUGUGCUAGACUUUGUGCCAAGCCAUCUUAUGACAAUUUCUAAAAUUUGACAGUGAAAGAUUCUGUACACUGAGAUCCUAUUAGACCGACACAGCCUGUAGGCCAGAGGUGGGCCAACUUGGGCCCCGGGUCAAAUCCAGCCUGCCAUCUGUCUGUGCAGCCUGCAAACUGAGGAUAGCUUUCACAUUUUUAAGUGGUUGGAAAAAAAUCAAAAGCAUAAUAUUUUGGGACACAUAAAAAAUUAUAUGAACUUCAGUGUUCAUAAAUCAUUGUAUUGGCACACAGCCACGCCAUCUACGAAUGGCUUUUUGCAGUUGAGUACUUGCGAUAGACUGCGUGGCCUGCAAAGCUGAAAAUAUGUGCGAUCCGCCCUCUCCCAGAAACUCUGCUGGCCCACAUCCUUGCAGAUGAAGCCCUGGAGUGCUAAGACAAGGCCUCAGCCCCUCUGGGCCACCGUCCAGGCCUUCCUUUGGUGCCCCCUGCUCUGCUCACCAGGCGCUUUGCUUUGGCUACAGGCUCCCAACUGCUCAGGCCACACCUGCUCCAAAGCACACACCCUUCCACCUGCUCAGCCCUCCCUGCCUCAGGUACUCACCAGACUCACCUGCGUGCCGCAACACAGGUUCUCCCCCUGCUUCCCUCAGAGGCACAUGCUGGGCUCACCCCAGGCCAGAAUGAGGAAGAACUGGAUGGACAGAUUAUUUUCUUAAAAACAGGGGCAUUUUGACAACCUGGUGGUGAAAAUACACACACACAUGCACAUGCGCACACACACACAAAAUAUCACUGUUUUUAAAGACAGUGACAAUACAACGUAGCAAUCAUUCCACCAGCUACCAAACCUUAUUCUCCAGCCAGAACUUCAAAAGCACAAUCUCCAAUUCUUAUUAAAGCACACAUUACUUAUCCUAACGUCUAUUUAUGGGUGCGAGAGCCUCCACUCCCCACCCUGCUAAAUGUGGAGGUGUAGGCAGGGUUGGAGAAGCCUCUCUGACCGACAUUCCAACACAGUCCCUGCUAGUAACCAACACCUUUAACCUCUCCCCUUGAUUAGCUGAUGACUAAGGAUCAGGAAACCUCCCUCUAGGCUGACUUCUCCAGGUGUGUUCUAUAGACAGCCACACCUCUGAACUCCCUCAGGGUCAAAGCCGCCUGACUCAAAGUGCAGACACCUGGGAAGAGGCAUCCCAAUUCAACAACUUCUAUCCACCAACCAGAUUUCCAGGUCUUCAUCCGCAGCUUGUCAGAAAUGCAUAAACCUUAAGCCUUACUUGAGACCUACUGAAUCAAAAUCUGCAUUCUAACCAAUCCCAAGGUUACAGCUCGAGAAGCCCAAUCUGCGUCUUCUCCUUGGACACUACGUAGACUCCCUCCCUGGAUAGAGCUUGUCUUUGCUAGUGUCUUUAUAACACACCAUUUUCUAUAUUUUUAGAAUCAAAUGUUCUUCUCAGUGCAUAUCAAGAGGAAUGAAAUAAACAACGAGAAUAAAAAACAAUCUAGCUGUUAUCCAAUUCCAAAUUCUGGUGAAUUCAACUGUUUCUUCAUGGGAAUUUUCUGGUAGGUUACUAGAGAAGUUGUCAAUACCUUAUUAAAAGAGAUGGAUUCACCAAGAAAAUGAGGAUGAUACGUGUUGGGUUUCUCCAAGGAAUUCACUGCUAGUAAAUGAGACCAUGCGAGUUAGAGCUUCAUAACAAUGAAGCAUCAUGUAAAUGGUUAUUAACACUGAUAAUGAUCAUUAAUACUAAUAAUCAUAAGAUGGAGAGUAACCCAUAAUUUCCUGAGUAACUCAGUAAUAAUAAAAUAAAGGAAAUAUCAACAGUGUGGUUAGAGUUGGUUGGUUUAAAGGUCAGCAAGACUUUACUCCUAAAUUAGGCUUGAUACCAAGCAGCUAACCAAAUCCUAAGGAAGCCCAGCGUGUUUCUGUCACUUUUCUUGGGGAGCAGUUCAUCCAUGAUGGAUCUUUAUUUGAUGAAACCAGGAACACCUGCCUUCUUUUGAACUGGAGCUUAUGUUAACAUUUUCUCCUAGAAUUUCUGUUGCCUGUGUAUCUUGGCUUCAUUUAUCCAAAGCGAUUUUUCCGCCUUAGAAGGGUCUGGACAGCAGACCCUGAAUUCAGUGCUCAGUGCCCAGGUCUGCUCUGCUCAGAGUCAGGCUCUGCUCCUCCACCUGGACGGAGAGGGUGGCCGUGGUCAUGGUCCAAGGUGAGGUUCCUGGAGGAAGGCAGGCACAUCAGGACUUCUGAUGGGGCCGCACACAACCUAACAAGACCUCUACAGCCCAUCCUCACCAAUUCGCUUUGGCAAGUGGAAAAGGGGCAUGCACUAUUCGUGCCGAAGGCUGUGCAAGCUGCAGACACAAAAAUUGGUUGCAAUGGAAACCUGAAGCAGAGGACACAGGUACCAAGUUCUGCUGUGCCCCGUGGUGAGGAAGCAGGGGGAGGUGGAGCCCUCUGGAGUAAUUUUUCCUUGACUGGUGAGGUGGGUCCUGAGAAUGAAGGGUACAGGGCAGGCCCCAGCAGGCAGGAGAUUCCAGGUGUAGUAAAAAGUGCUCCCGGAUGUGAGUGGAUGGAAAAGGGCAGAUGAGCAGGUGGCAAGGUCACCACCUCUUUCUGGGAAUGGGACUGGCUGUCAAGUUUCAGAGGGGAUCUUGCAGGGCGGCUGGGUGGGAGGUGAGCCAGAUCCUGUCACCACCAGAAAGGAUCUCCUUGAGUGAAGUGUGCCAGGCUUGAAAUGCAUCCUGCCAUGCCAGCAGGCAUCCCUGCAUCACCCGUCAAUCCUGCAAACACUCAUCAGGAACCGGGGUCAUGGUAUGGCUGGGAGGCCUCACUGGGGUCACAGUCAUCUCUUUCUGGUCUGCCAUGCAGAGUAUGACCAGACACAGAUAGGCCAGGAUCCAUGCAACUGGGCACAGCAGAACAUCCGGAGCGCCGUGAACAUCCGGAGUACGAUGACCGCCGGUGGAGACCAGGCAGCACUCACGCAGUCCGAGGCUGGCCACCAGCGUAUGCAAGCUGGUAUCUGAGUCAGAAACUGCAAUCAUUGUCCUUUGAUUCCCAGAACAUAAGUCCUUGCCGGCCCCAAAGGCUGGUUAUUUUGAUGCUAUAACAUAACGUGUUCACAUACUUGUUCAUCUGAGACAAUAGCUUACAAAUUCAAUUUUUAGGUGCACUGUGGCCCUAUUAGGGCCUCCCUAAACAGAGGUUCAAAUGAAUCCAAAUCCAGGGCAUCCCAUGAAGAUCCUGACCAAGAAAACACUCACCUCCACCCUCCUCCACGUGGCCAUGCCAGAGGCCACCAUGUGAUGGCAAGUGUGUUCAGCUGCCCACAAAGACAUCAGAUACAUGGGAAUUCCUCACUUGGAUGUGUCUUCAGUGCAGACUUCCUCACUCUCAGGAUUCUGGUUCGGUUCUAGGCUCCCAUGAGGCUCAACUUCCUUGGACAUCCUGCUGCCCUAAACUGUCUGUUUGGGGAUAUUUUGGUCCCAGCAGCCUUCAGCCAUGUUCUCUCCACCCUCAGCAAAAGAAUUUGAGGGCCUGAAGAAGGAACUAUUCACUCUUUGGCCCAGAUGGUGCCCUUAAUGCCUCUACUCCAAAAUAUUGCCCCUUGGACCAAUCCCCGGGCUCCAAGAACUUCAGCCUCAGGGAAAUGGAAGUCGGUCCCUGUUUUGGGCCCAGCUUUCUAUAUGUGCUCCUUUGUCUGGGCCCAAGGUGCUGGACUCCUGUUUGCUGGCAGAGGCAUUAAAUACGCCCAAGGGCUUGGGCCUACCAUUCCCAAGGCAAGUAUAUGCAUCUUGCAGAGAUGUGAGGUCCCCAGCAAGAGGUCCACAGCACUCCUGCCAUCCUAGCUCCUCUGCUUUUUCCUCUGAAAAGCCUCCCAGGUAAGGCAGGAACCCUGGCCUCACAUCCAGGCUCUGACCCGGAAGCAAUAUUGGUGGUUCAGAGAGCAGUUAUUUCCUAAAGACUGUAGGAAGUGAGUACAUGAAGAAGAGUUUACUAGACCAAAACCUUGAGAUCCAAUAGUAAAGUAACAAAAACCCCUCACUCUAAUCAACCAUAUAACAACAAUAACAACAACAAAAAGUAUUCUAACAUUCUGUGACUCUGUACUUUUGCAGUACUUUGGGACCACUGACAGCAUCAUAAACAAGAAAAGGACUGUGUCUCACCCAGAGAGAAAGCUCUGUUAGAUAACACAAGGCCUCUACUCUUGAUAACAAGCCCCUGAUCUUCGAGAUGCUUGUAGACUCUAAAUGAAAUGAUAUCACAAAUACGGAAAAACAUAAUUAUGUUAAUUUUUUUUUAAUCCACCACAUAGGACUUAUCUAUGAAGAUAUACAAGAGAUGCACUGGCUCUUACAAGACUCAAGAAUCGACUUGGCCCUAUCGAGUUCAGCUCAGAAUCUCCUUUACAUUGAUCCAACAGAAAUAAAAUGUACUAUUUGGAAAUGUCUAUCAAGAUUUAAAAUGAAUCUAUCCUACGGUCAGCAAUUCUACUUAUAGAACUACAUCCAACAGAUAUCUGCAGCAGCUUUGUUUACAGUAGAUAAAAGAUUGCAAACAAUCGAUGUCCAUCAAUAGAAGACUGUUUAAAUAAAUUAUGUGUCUAAUGGACAAGUGGGAUAAUAUGUGUAGCUAUCUUCUUGUAUAUGCAUAGAAUAUUUCUGAAAGAAGCCAUUAUCAGUAAUAACAGCUGAUACGAAUAGGGGAUAGGGAAGUGUGCCUAGGGGCCAGGAGUGGGAGUUUCUUUUCACCUUAUUCCCCUUCACACUCUGAAUACUUACCAUGUUCAUUAAUUGCCUACUCACAAAACAACUUCUUAAGGGAAAAAAAUACAAUCUGUGCUUGAAAGGAACAAGCCCACUGACUGUUUUGCUGAGUGUCAAAGAACAGAAGCUGUGAGUAUCAACAAGGAGUCUCUAACAGGCAGACACGAGUCAAGAAAUAUCUACCUCAUUAGCAGGAGCCUCUAAAAACACCUGCUGCCUUUCUAUCCCAGGAGACAUCCACACAUGAGAACUCUUUUUCAAUACGGUCUUUAAUAUCCAGAGCAAUAGAUUUAAGCAAAAGCUAAAACUGAGUGAAGAGGAAGCAGCAAAUAUCCCAACAUUGACACCAAAAAACCCUGCCCCUGCUGUGUGAUGGUGGAGAGGGAGGGAGGGAGGACGUGCCUAGACCCCAGAGUCCUUUUCAGGUCCAAAUGUUCUCAAACCUUUCUCCGCAAGCUACAGCAUCUCCUGAAUUCUUCCCAGAAGAGCGUCUGACAUGACCUCGUGGAACUCUGCACCACUUCAUCAAGGACUACAUGUUUUUAUUUCACUUGCCACUUCCUUACCUUAAGGUGGGAAGAACCCUUUGGUCAACUUUCUGCUAUUUCUGCAGCCCAGGCUCUUUGUCCCCAAUCUUCUUGGUAGCCCAGUCCCUCCCUUGAAUCACACCUAUACCAAUACUAUGGCUGCUCCAAGACAACUCUGGUCUCCUUCUGCUGGUGGCUAGCAUGGUCCUGUAAGAAUCCCAGAGCCAACUCGAUCUUCCUAGCACAGGGUGAUUCAGACAUCCCUCAACAUCUGUAUCCAACAGGUGAUCACCUGCUGAAAGAGACACUUCCCUGAUGCUGAAAACUUUACUACUACAAGAUGAAAGGAACACUGUUCAAAGAGUUUGAACAUUCCAUGAAAUAUGACUCAGGCCUCAAGCAGAGAAGAGUCCUAGAAUAGGCAAGGCCCAUAAAAUCAAUUACCUCCCAGAAGCUCCAGAGGAGAGGCAUGAUUUGGCCACACACCCUUGGAAGACAAGACUGGCCAUGAUUCACAUCAAAAAAAAAGUGACCUGCAUUGCUAAGUUAGCCACCUUGUUCAGGAGAAAGAGUUUGAUACAUCUCCUCCUUUUCCUUUCUAUAGGAAGAAUUUGGGGUCUGGAAUAAAGAAAACAGCAGGGCAGGGCAGUGUGUGAGACGGACCUCAGAGAAGAAAUGAACUUACCUCUUAGGAGCAUGAUGCUGGCUGCCCACCUGAAGGCUUUCCCCUCUCCCAACUUUCCCAGCUAAAAUUUCAGGUAUGAGAGAUGCAGCGUUGCCUGUAUUUUUGCUCGGUGAUUCAUUUAUAUUAAGGAAAAAAUCAUGAAUGAGAACCAUGCCUUUAGAUAAUAUCAAGCAGGCAUUCUUGUGUUCAUGGAGUGGGAAUAGGAAGAGAAUGAAAGGCAACUGGCUCAAAGGCACGGUUCGCACUGAUACAUGCAUCACAGACCUCAAAAUAAUACUCUGAGUGAAAGAAGCCAGACCAAAAAGGAGAACAUGCUUUAAGAUUACAAUUCUAUAAAACACUAGAAAAUGCAAACCAAUAUAUUGUGUCGGAAAGCAACAGAUCAGUGGUUGCUUGGGGCUGGGGAGCAGGGAGGAGUAGGAGGGAGGGAUGACAGAGAGGUACAUGGAAACUUUGGGGGCUGGUGGCUGUUUUCACAAUCUUAACUGUGGUGAUAGAUUCACAGCUGGAUUUAGAUAUAUGUCAAAGCUUAUCAAAUUGUACAUGUUAACUAUGUGCAGUUUGUUGCAUGACAAACUCCAAUAAAGGUAAUUUUUAAGAAAGACCACUGUUUACGCUUAAAAAAAGAAAAAUAAAAAUUCUAAGACUGAAAUCCUCCCCAAAAGUCAA